rnacentral:rRNA from 1 species
UACGUAGGGUGCGAGCGUUAAUCGGAAUUACUGGGCGUAAAGCGUGCGCAGGCGGUUCGCUGUGUCCGAUGUGAAAGCCCCGGGCUUAACCUGGGAAUGGCAUUGGAAACUGGCGGGCUUGAGUGCGGCAGAGGGGGGUGGAAUUCCGCGUGUAGCAGUGAAAUGCGUAGAGAUGCGGAGGAACACCGAUGGCGAAGGCAGCCCCCUGGGUCGACACUGACGCUCAUGCACGAAAGCGUGGGGAGCAAACAGG